rnacentral:rRNA from 1 species
UAUACCGKGAAACUGCRAAUGGCUCAUUAAAUCAGUUAUCGUUUAUUUGAUAGUACCUACUUACUUGGAUAACCGUGGUAAUUCUAGAGCUAAUACAUGCUAAAAACCUCGACUUCGGAAGGGGUGUAUUUAUUARAUAAAAAACCAAUGCCCUCCGGGGCUCCCUGGUGAUUCAUAAUAACUAAACGAAUCGCAUGGCCUUGCGCCGGCRAUGGUUCAUUCAAAUUUCUGCCCUAUCAACUUUCGAUGGUAGGAUAGKGGCCUACCWUGGKGGCAACGGGUAACGGGGAAUUAGGGUUCUAUUCCGGARAGGGAGCCUGARAAACGGCUACCACAUCCAAGGAAGGCAGCAGGCGCGCAAAUUACCCAAUCCCGACACGGGGAGGUAGUGACAAUAAAUACUGAUGUGGAGCUCUUUAGGGUUUCACAAUUGGAAUGAGAAAAAUCUAAACCACUUAAACRAGGAACAAUUGGAGGGCAAGUCUGGUGCCAGCAGCCGCGGUAAUUCCAGCUCCAAUAGCGUAUAUUAAAGUUGUUGCAGUUAAAAAGCUCGUAGUUGAACCUUGGGCCUGGCCGGCCGGUCCGCCUCACCGCGUGCACUGGUUCGGCCGGGCCUUUCCUCCUGGGGAACCGCAUGCCCUUCACUGGGUGUGCCGGGGAAUCAGGACUUUUACUUUGAAAAAAUUAGAGUGUUCAAAGCAGGCAUUUGCUCGAAUACAUUAGCAUGAAAUAAUAGAAUAGGACGUUGUGGUUCUAUUUUGUUGGUUUCUAGGACCGCCGUAAUGAUAAAUAGGGA